UCCUCUCCUCCUCCUCUCCCCUUCCUCUCCCCUUCCUCUCCUCCUCCUCUCCCCUUCCUCUCCCCCUCCUCUCCCCUUCCUCUCCCCUUCCUCUCCUCCUCCUCUCCCCUUCCUCUCCCCUUCCUCUCCUCCUCCUCUCCCCUUCCUCUCCCCUUCCUCUCCCCUUCCUCUCCCCUUCCUCUCCCCUUCCUCUCCCCCUCCUCUCCUCCUCCAAUGCUGUUGUAAAGGAUCUCCAUUCUCAGGUUGUUAACAGGUCUAUAUUUGGGUUGGAUUGUUUAUAGUGGUGUCUGUAUUAACAUCAUAUAGCUUUGUCCAACUCCAGUAGGAUUAUAAUCUAUGAAUCUCCUUCUCAUUAAAUAUAACCUCUGGUUUAAACUCUCAUUCCUUACUCUGUCCGCCUGUCAAUCCCUCUCCCUGCAUCAAAGCUUUAGUGACUUAGUUAACUCUGGUUCAGCUGCCUGAGUUGCUCUGGUUUAGCUGCCUGAGUUGCUCUGGUUCAGCUGCCUGAGUUGCUCUGGUUCAGCUGCCUGAGUUGCUCUGGUUUAGCUGCCUGAGUUGCUCUGGUUCAGCUGCCUGAGUUGCUCUGGUUCAGCUGCCUGAGUUGCUCUGGUUCAGCUGCCUGAGUUGCUCUGGUUCAGCUGCCUGAGUUGCUCUGGUUCAGCUGCCUGAGUUGCUCUGGUUCAGCUGCCUGAGUUGCUCUGGUUUAGCUGCCUGAGUUGCUCUGGUUCAGCUGCCUGAGUUGCUCUGGUUCAGCUGCCUGAGUUGCUCUGGUUUAGCUGCCUGAGUUGCUCUGGUUCAGCUGCCUGAGUUGCUCUGGUUUAGCUGCCUGAGUUGCUCUGGUUUAGCUGCCUGAGUUACCUGGCUGUUGGAUGGAAUUUGUAUGAAUGUUCUGUGAUGGUUGUAUGGAUGUUCUGUGAUGGUUGUGUGGAUGUUCUGUGAUGGUUGUGUGGAUGUUCUGUGAUGGUUGUAUGAUGUUCUGUGAUGGUUGUAUGGAUGUUCUGUGAUGGUUGUAUGGAUGUUCUGUGGUGGUUGUACGGAUGUUCUGUGAUGGUUGUAUGGAUGUUCUGUGAUGGUUGUGUGAAUGUUCUGUGAUGGUUGUAUGAAUGUUCUGUGAUGGUUGUAUGGAUGUUCUGUGAUGGUUGUAUGAAUGUUCUGUGAUCGUUGUAUGGAUGUUCUGUGAUGGUUGUAUGGAUGUUCUGUGAUGGUUGUAUGGAUGUUCUGUGAUGGUUGUGUGAAUGUUCUGUGAUGGUUGUAUGGAUGUUCUGUGAUGGUUGUAUGGAUGUUCUGUGGUGGUUGUAUGGAUGUUCUGUGAUGGUUGUAUGGAUGUUCUGUGAUGGUUGUGUGAAUGUUCUGUGAUGGUUGUAUGGAUGUUCUGUGAUGGUUGUAUGGAUGUUCUGUGAUGGUUGUAUGGAUGUUCUGUGGUGGUUGUAUGGAUGUUAUAUUGUGGUUGUAUGGAUGUUCUGUGGUGGUUGUAUGAAUGUUCUGUGAUGGUUGUAUGGAUGUUCUGUGGUGGUUGUAUGAAUGUUCUGUGAUGGUUGUAUGGAUGUUCUGUGAUGGUUGUAUGAAUGUUCUGUGGUGGUUGUAUGGAUGUUCUGUGAUGGUUGUAUGAAUGUUCUGUGAUGGUUGUGUGAAUGUUCUGUGAUGGUUGUAUGGAUGUUCUGUGAUGGUUGUAUGAAUGUUCUGUGGUGGUUGUAUGGAUGUUCUGUGAUGGUUGUAUGGAUGUUCUGUGAUGGUUGUAUGGAUGUUCUGUGAUGGUUGUAUGGAUGUUCUGUGAUGGUUGUAUGAAUGUUCUGUGAUGGUUGUGUGAAUGUUCUGUGAUGGUUGUAUGAUGUUCUGUGAUGGUUGUAUGAAUGUUCUGUGAUGGUUGUAUGAAUGCUCUGUGAUGGUUGUAUGAAUGUUCUGUGAUGGUUGUAUGGAUGUUAUGAGAUGGUUGUGUGGAUGUUAGAUGUUGUAUGAAUGUUCUGUGAUGGUUGUAUGAUGUUCUGUGAUGGUUGUAUGGAUGUUCUGUGAUGGUUGUAUGAAUGCUCUGUGAUGGUUGUAUGAAUGUUCUGUGAUGGUUGUAUGGAUGUUAUGAGAUGGUUGUGUGGAUGUUAGAUGUUGUAUGAAUGUUCUGUGAUGGUUGUGUGAAUGUUCUGUGAUGGUUGUGUGAAUGUUCUGUGAUGGUUGUGUGAAUGUUCUGUGAUGGUUGUAUGAAUGUUCUGUGAUGGUUGUGUGGAUGUUCUGUGAUGUUGUAUGAAUGUUAGGAGAUGGUUGUGUGGAUGUUCUGUGAUGGUUGUGUGGAUGUUAGGAGAUGGUUGUAUGAAUGUUAGGAGAUGGUUGUGUGGAUGUUCAGUGAUGGUUGUGUGAAUGUUCUGUGAUGGUUGUGUGAAUGUUCUGUGAUGGUUGUGUGAAUGUUCUGUGAUGGUUGUGUGAAUGUUCUGUGAUAGUUGUAUGAAUGUUCUGUGAUGGUUGUGUGGCUGUUCUGUGAUGGUUGUGUGGAUGUUAGGAGAUGGUUGUGUGGAUGUUAGGAGAUGGUUGUGUGGAUGUUCCUCCCAAUACAUUGAGGUUGACAGGUCUUCUCAGUGUUCUCUGACCCUGAGGUAGGACUAGGGGUCAGGGUGAGGUAGGGCUAGGGGUCAGGGUGAGGUAGGGCUAGUGGUCAGGGUGAGGUAGGGUUAGUGAGGUAGGGCUAGGGGACAGGGUUAGUGAGGUAGGGCUAGGGGUCAGGGUGAGGUAGGGCUAGGGGUCAGGGUGAGGUAGGGUUAGUGAGGUAGGGCUAGGGGUCAGGGUGAGGUAGGGCUAGGGGUCAGGGUGAGGUAGGGUUAGUGAGGUAGGGCUAGGGGUCAGGGUGAGGUAGGGCUAGUGAGGUAGGGCUAGGGGACAGGGUGAGGUAGAGCUAGGGAGGUAGGGCUAGGGGUCAGGGUGAGGUAGGGUUAGUGAGGUAGGGCUAGGGGACAGGGUGAGGUAGGGCUAGUGAGGUAGGGCUAGGGGUUUGGGUUGCUAGUUUGGUAGUGUUAGUUUGAUAGACAGGUGUCAGAUUGAGUGUCUGAGCCUGAACCAACUGACCAUCUAACCUUUAACCUCUGACCUGGAAGUCUUAUGAAUAACUCUCUGGCAUUGCUGUCAGACUUAGUAGCCGACAGGAAGUCUGAGGUCUUACGCGACACACAACUCUGUCCUGCAGACUUCCAAAUGACAUCGAUGCAUGAUUUAGGUAAAACCCACCGGACAGCCAGUGAUCUGAGGCUGGGUUUGUCCUGCAGUAAAGCAUCUUCCAGGACAGCUUAGGGGGUUUCAAUCCUAGCUCUGCACACACGAACAUCUCCUUAGACACCACGUUGUUAGCUAUGGCACGGUCUGAUGUGGGCCUGAGACCCGCUAACCUACCUGCUUCAACACCUCAACACUCACCGAACCACUACACUUUCUAUGGGACGACCUACCUGCUGCUAGCCCUCUCGACUACACAGAGCUCUAUCGGGUUCUACUGGGUUCACUCGGGUUCUACUAGAUUCUACCAGGUUCUGAGGUUCUACCAGGUUCGAAGGUUCUACCAGGUUCUGAGGUUCUACCAGGUUCUGAGGUUCUACCAGGCAUUACCAGGUUCUGAGGUUCGAAGGUUCUACCAGGUUCUGAGGUUCUACCAGGCAUUACCAGGUUCUGAGGUUCGAAGGUUCUACCAGGUUCUGAGGUUCUACCAGGUUCUGAGGUUCUACCAGGUUCUGAGUGAACAGGGAGAGGAGGGGGCUGAGAAGCUUUGGUCCUGAUAAUAUUAGUGGAACAUGACCUAAUGAGGCCACCAGACCUGCUCCAUACUGCCCAGCCUCCCUACAGCCACCAGACCUGCUCCAUACUGCCCAGCCUCCC
rnacentral:lncRNA from 1 species